UACUGCCUCUGUUUGUUCUUCAUCGAUACAAUAAAGACAGCUUCUUCCUGCAUUCUCUGGAGAAAAGUCCUUUUUUUGCAAUAUUUAUUGCCUUUGUUUGUCCUUCAGCGAUACAAUAAUGACUGCUUCUUCCUGCAUUCUCUGGAGAAAAGUCCUUUUUUUGCAAUAUUACUGCAACACUUGUUCUGCCCCAGGGAGGCAAGACUACUUCUUUCAUAAUUCACUGGAAGAAAAAAGGCUAUUUUACAUCUGAGUUGUAUAUAUUUAAAAAAACAACUGAAAAUUUAUUAUUAAUUAAAUUUAAAAAUUAUUUCUGCUACUCGUGUACACUUUUUAAAUCUGUUUUAGUAUUCAAAUGCUUCAGUGCGACUGUGCGAGAUGAAGUUGAAAUCCAUAGCGGCAAGUUUUUCUAAAGAAGAAAAGGAAAAACAGAGUUUAAGAAAUUGUAUUAAC